CCCCAGAUGUUGCUGAACUACAACUCCCAUGAUUCUCUGGCUAUCUAUCUAAUUCAAAGAAUCAUGGGAGUUGUAGUUUAGCAACAUCUGGGG